UACGUAGGGUGCGAGCGUUGUCCGGAAUUAUUGGGCGUAAAGGGCUCGUAGGCGGUCUGUCACGUCAGGAGUGAAAACUCGGGGCUCAACCCCGAGCCUGCUUCUGAUACGGGCAGACUGGAGGUAUGCAGGGGAGAACGGAAUUCCUGGUGUAGCGGUGAAAUGCGCAGAUAUCAGGAGGAACACCGGUGGCGAAGGCGGUUCUCUGGGCAUUACCUGACGCUGAGGAGCGAAAGCGUGGGUAGCAAACAGG
rnacentral:rRNA from 1 species